rnacentral:lncRNA from 1 species
ACAAACUCAUGUCAUGAACACUGCCAAUAUAAACCUGAUCAAGAAGCCACAACCAAGCUACAAGCCUAGCUAAGCCAUUGCAUUAACACAACCUGCCAUGAUCCUGCUGGAAAAAAAACCAUGACAGUAACCUCACACCAUACUCAUGCAAUACAUCAUACUGUCAACAUCCUGCAUCAACAUGAAACAAGGCCUUGAUCAUGAACAUGUAACAUACCAAAUGAUUAACCUAAUUUGUCAUUGCCAAACCUGCAAAACCAGCACACCAGCA